CAAUGGACAGCUGGCCUAUAACAGGCUGGGACCAAGGCAAACAUAACAGAGACAUCAGGGCUGCUGUUCAGCCCACAGGUGGGGCUCCUGCUGUUCGCCCAGACCUUGCACACCAAAGGAACUGAAACAACAUGGCGAGAUUCCAACACAGCAGGAGCAGCAGCAGGAACUGCAAAUGGAUGGCGAAAAGGGGACGCCGUGGGGGCGGCUCCGGACGGCGGGGUAAAGGGAGGAGGAGGGGAAGACGCGGCGGAAGGAGAAAAGGUGGGUCUCAGGGUUUGUGUCUUGGGCCCCUCUUGAGAUGUGGUCACGUUUGGUGUUGAAUCUGGACAUGGGGUAACUCUUUGGGCCUCCAGUUACCCAUAGAGAGAACCAGUGGUGGCUGGCUCAUUUGAGGCAAAUAGGGCAUGGGCCCACCAACUGCAGCUAGCCCCCAAACAGCCUCCCAGCUGCUUGCCUUCUUUCUUAUAUCCAGCCUAAGAGUAGCACUGUCUGGGGCAGCUUCUUCCAGAUUAAUCUCAGUGUUGCCAUUCAUAGAACUCAGCAGGGAGGAGAACAUAGCUGUCAACUUUUCCCUUUUCUUGUGAGGAAUCUUAUUCACAAUAAGGAAAUUUCCCUUAAAAAAAGGGAAAAGUUGACAGCUAUGGAGAAGAAUGGGAGGAAAACUAGAAUUAGGUGGCUGUGUCUGCCAUUAGCUUUGGCGCCAUCUACUGUUGACCUCCCUGCCUUCCACUCUACCAGUCCCAAUGGACACUGACCACCACUGGAGAUGGCCAAGAUACUUGGGGUAACCUGGCCAUCUGUACCAGGUUGCACCAAUCUUUGAGGGACCAUAGGCACAUUUGCAUCCUCGAAAAGCUAUUGUUGAGUAACCCACACAUCCUGCAACCAAGCACACAACACAACCUUUUCUACUGGGUUCAACAAAAUGAUUCUUUCAAGCAUAAUUUCAGCAGAGGUGCGUGAAGUGGAUAAGGGGGCGAGGACCCCUGUGGGCACCGGGGAAGGCCUCUGCAAGCACCCUGAGCCGUAUCAUCUUGUCAAGUGGCCAUGCUGACUGGGACUUCUGGGAGUUGUAGCCCAAAAAGUUCUGAAGGGCGUCAAGUUGGCCAAUGCAGUUGUAGAAGAUUCUUCAUAACAAUGGGUCUUGCCAUGGGAGCAUAUUCACCCAGUUCUUUUCCAGCUGCACUGGCUUCCGGUGGAGUACAGGGUCAGAUUUAAGGUGCUGGUUUUGACCUUUAAAGCCCUUCACGGCCUAGGACCCUUGUACCUACUGGACCGCCUCUCCAUGUAUGCCCCAUGGAGGACCUUAAGGUCCAUAAAUAGCAACACCCUAGUGGUCCCGGGCCCUAAGGAAGUCAGAUUAAUCACAGCCAGGUCAGGGCCUUUUCAACACUGGCUCUGGCCUGGUGGAACACUCUGUCUCAUGAGACCAGGGCCCUGCAGAAUCUGAUUUCUUUCCACAGGGCCUGUAAGACAGAGUUGUUCCACCUGGCUUUUGGCUUGGAAUUAAUUUGAUCCCCUUUUUCUUUUUCCCUUUUUCCUUCUGUGAUGGAACCCCUACUUGGGGACUUCCCUGGCUUUUUUUCUGGCCCACGUAGGACCACUCUGGAUAGUUAGUCUUCGUGAAGACGUGACAUUUUCAUCCCAAAAAAAGUUUUUGAGUUUCUGCUGAAAUGAGGCUACAUUUUAAUGUUGUAUUUUAAUCUUGUUUUUCAAGUUGUAUUAGAAUCAAUUGUUUUAUAUUUGGUGUUAGCCUCCCUGAGCCCAGUCUUGGCUAGGGAGGGCGGGAUAUAAAUAAAAUUUAUUACUAUUAUUAUUAUUAAUGAUCAAAACUGUUGUGCGGUAAUUAACUUCCUCUUUCAGAAAUGAACAUGUGCCUAGCAAGAGUACUUAUUUGACUUGACCCUGCCUUUAUUCAAUAGCUUGUUCACUUGCCCUUAAACAGCUCCUAUAUCAACCCUGUUCAUUCAUGGGAGGCACAACAUUCUAGGGGAAACGGCCAUUGGAGAUAAGGACAGCAGAAGUGCUUGCUGGAUCAGGCCAAUGGCCUAUCUAGUCCAGCAUACUGUUCUUACAAUGGCCAACCAGAUAAUAAUAAUAAUAAUAAUAAUAAUAAUAAUAAUAAUAAUAAUAAUUUAUUUAUACCCCGCCCAUUUGGCUGGGUUUCCCCAGCCACUCUGGGCGGCUUCCAACAAAAUAUUAAAAUACAAUAACCUAUUAAACAUUAAAAGCUUCCCUAAACAGGGCUGUCUUCAGAUGUCUUCUAAAAGUCUAGUAGUUGUUGUUCCCUUUGGCAUCUGAUGGGAGGGUGUUUCACAGGGCGGGCGCCACUACUAAGAAGGCCCUCUGCCUGGUUCCCUGUAACUUUGCUUCUCACAGUGAGGGAACCGCCAUAAGGCCCUCGGCGCUGGACCUCCGUGUCUGGGCUGAACGAUGGGGGUAGAGACGCUCCUUCAGAUAUACUGGGCCGAGGCCAUUUAGGGCUUUAAACGUCAACACCAACACUUUGAAUUGUGCUUGGAAAUGUAUUGGGAGCCAAUGUAGAUCUUUCAAGACCAAUGUUAUGUGGUCCCGGCAGCCACUCCCAGUCACCAGUCUAGCUGCCGCAUUCUGGAUUAGUUGUAGUUUCGGGGUCACCUCCAAAGGUAGCCCCACGUAGAGGGCACAUAGAUGCCUGAAGGAAGCCAGCAAACAGGAUCUGAGCACCUGAGCACUCUCCCCUCCUGUGGUUUCCAGCAGCUGGUAUUCAGAAGCAUUCAGAGCAUAGUCAUCAUGCUAGUGGCCCUUAGUAUCCUUCUCCUCCAUGACUUUGUCCAAUCCUCUUUUAAAGUCAUACAAAUUUCUGGCUACCACUGUCUCCUGUAGGAGUGAGUUCCAUAGUUUAGCUAUGUGCUGGUGAAUAAGUCAAAGUACAUUCCAGCUUUAUUAAACUAAAUAGCUUUAAUUCGACUUGAAUAAAUGUGCCAUUAACUGUUAAAGUUUUGAAUAUUAUUGUGCUAUUAUCAUUCUUAGUGGGCUAUGUAAACUGCUAAUCUGAAAAAUAUUUUCUGUUGGGUGAAGGGCACUGGGGAUGAGUUCAUGGAAGCAAGCAGGGAGUGACCCGAAAAAGUUUGGGGACCACUGGGCUGGUCAACUUUCUCCAUGAAAUCCAUCUUCCUGCACACUCUAGUUCAUGGGUAGGCAAACUAAGGCCCGGGGUCUGGAUCCGGCCUAAUCACCUUCUAAAUCCAGCCCAUGGACGGUCCAGGAAUCAGUGUGUUUUUACAUGAGUAGAACAUGUUCUUUUAUUUAAAAUGCAUCUCUGGGUUAUUUGUGUGGCACAGGAAUUCAUUCAUUUUAUUUUUUAAAAAAUAUAGUCCACCCCCCCCUACAAGGUCUGAGGGACAGUGGACCAGCCCCCUGCUGAAAGUUUGCUGACCUAGUUAGUGGUGAUGAUGAUGAAGGGCCCAUUCAAACUGGCCUUUUACACAACAGUUCUUUCCACAUCCCACCCUUCAGAUGAUCUCCUAUUCUUUUGUCCCCUUCUGCUAUCAUGAACCUUUUUCCUGUGCAUUCAUCUAAUGCUUUGGUGCAUUAGAGCAUUUUUUUUUCUUUUGGAAAAAACCCCAAAAUGGCAGCCAACAGAAAAUAUGGUGGAACCCAUUGGUGGCUGCCAUUUUUGCGAGUGCCAGAUGCCAUUUUGUUUCCUCUCCCACCAGUUCCCUACGUUAGCACAAAACAGGAGGGAGCAAAAUGGCCAAGAGGUUGUGCUUCUCAAGAACUAUGCUGCUUCUCAUAGCCCAAAAAAUUAAAUUAAAUUAGUAUUAAGAAUAAGAAUAGUAGCCACUCACCUGUGCUACAAGGUAAGACUCCCCUCUGUGAACAUGAAGGCGGCGCCAAUGCUAUUUUGCUAAGGACUCCCUCAAAUUUGGGUGGGUUUCGCCAGCCUUGGUGCAGUGAUUCUACUGCCCAUAAGCCUCCAUAAAACCUAUGCUUGAACUAAAAAGGCCAAUGUGAAUAGGAGGCAUGGAACAUGCAUGUCAGUGCUACCACCAAUGUUCUGCACUCACACAGCCUCAUGUGCAUGAUGAUCUUGCCUACUUUUUAACAUUGGCCUUCCUGUGUUGAGCAGGAAGGUCUGAAAGCACCUUCUAAGGGCAUUUGGUGACCAUGCUUGGAAGCAUCCCCGGCCAACAUAAGGAGAGUCCUGCUUAAUCAGGCCAAAGGCCCACCCAGUUCACCAUCCUGUUCUCACAUUGGCCAGCAUGAUGCCUCUUGGAAGCCUGGAAGCAGGACCUGAGCGUGAGAACCCCCUUUUCACUUGCAGUUCCCAGCAAGUGGUACACUUUAGGUCUCAACAUUUCCACAUCAGUUCAUGAUUGUUGUUGUUGUUGUUUUAAAAGAAUAGGCUUCAUGAGGAUUUUAGUGCAAAUUUCUCCUAACAUACACAUUUUUGCAAAGCAAAAAUUUCCCCAAGAAAGUAUAUUUCUGUAUGUUGUUUGCCCUCAUUUUUAUGUACACUUUACCUUAGUAUGUGAAUUUUUUUGCCUAUUACAUGACUGGAGAACUGCACUGCAAAAUGUAAAGAAGUACAGUCGUACCUCGGUUCUCAAAAAGAAUGCAUUUCGGGAGUCCAUUCGACUCCUGGAACUGUUCGAAAACCAAGGCGCGGCUUCCAAUUGGCUGCAGGAGCCUCCUGCAGCCAAUUGGAAGCCACAGAACCUGCGCUGGAUGUUCAGCUUCCGAAAAUCGUUCAAAAACUGAAACACUCACUUCCGGGUUUCUGUGGUUCAGGAGCCGAUUUCUUCGGGAGCCAAGGCUUUUGAGAUCCAAGGUACGACUGUAUGCAAUUUGGAGGACGCCUGUAUUUUUGGUUCUCAUAUUAUUUCAGAAAGUGCUUUUCAGAUAAGUUUGCCUUUAAAUGGGAACAGAAUCCGAUUUCUCCCCUUUCCCCACUGUGAAAAUAAAUGGAGAUGGAUGCACUAUAAAAAGUGUAAAAUAAAUAAAUGAAUGAAUGAAUGAAUGUUGAGUAAAUGAAUGGACUAUUUUUUGUUUGUUUGUAAGAAGGUCAAAUAAUUUGCCCAACCCUUUGCAAAGCCAGUGACUGGUUUCAGCUCAGCAUUGGAAUUUUGCAAUGCAUUCAUGUACUUCUCUUUGGAAACAGCUUUUGUCAAUGCCAAUUAAGUCUUCAGCAUGUGAAAAAGCUCUUGAGAUACAAAGAGAGGCGACUCGGUGUCCUCCCCUAUUUAUCUACACACCACUCUCAGUCGUGGUGCACAGUCAAGUAUCAACAACAGAGCAGAACACAGUGGUAAAUAAUUGAUAUUUAAAUGAUUGGCUGCUGAAUAAUACAAAUCAACAGCAUGUCACUGUCUCUUGAAAUAUUUCCAGCAUCAGGAAAACAAAGCGAGGAAUGAAAGCUGGAGAAAACUAGCGCAUCACCAUUGAGCCUCCAUGUGAGGAGUGGUAUAUCUUUUAAAAAACAUAAGUCUAUAGUGAAUGUAUAACAUUUUUACAGUCACAGAGAUCCUCCAAAAGAACCCUAGGAUUUAAAGGGAUGAUUUGGAAACCAUGCAAGAUGGAUAUGAAAGUCAGGAUGGUGGAUGUGAACUCACGUAAUCUUCACCCCUGUGUCUCAGAUUUUGCUCCAUUUCAGAUCCACAGUGAAUACUAUGACAUGGUAUGAAGGCUGCUUUUCAGAAUUUUAACCCCACCCCACCUUUUAAAAGACGUAUAUUUAGCUGCUUAGAAAAGCUACGAAGUUUGGCUGCUGUGAAACACUAAUGAAUGUUGAAUUUUCAUGCAUUUAGUUUUACCUCCUUUUGAGGUUUUUCAGUUAAUUCUCUGCUAUUUUUACCAUAUUGUGUCAUUUUAAAAUUUCUUAAAAUGCUAACUUUGUUUUGAUUGAGCAGAUGAAAUAAAAUUGCAAUAUAUAAAAAAAGGAAAAGAAAGAAAAGAAAAGAAAAUGGUGCUGACAGCUCUCAGGAAGAUUUUACAAAACAAAGACUAUCCACAUUAAUGCAUGACUGUCUCUAUGGUUUUAAGUUCACACAUUACUAUUCAAGUGGAAGGGAACAAACUUUAAAAAAACAAUAAUGCAAAAACUGGCAGAGACCAAAUUUCAACCUUUUUUCCAAUAGAACCAGGGUGUGAAAUCUGACAGAAACACGAGUCCUUAGAAUUACAUUGGCCCUAGAUUUCUUUCCUCUUUCAAGAAGUCUAAUAAGCGGAUUUUUUAUUUUUUUUAAAUCCUAGUUGCUAACUGGUUUGGAUUUGGGAGAUGUGUGUGUGUGUGUGUGUGUGUGUAAGUAAUUAACUGUUAUUAUAUAUAUGUUUGCUUUAGGCAUGUUUUCUUGCAUUGUGAAAUUGCUUUGAGAUGCUUCCUAGGAAGUGAUUUAUAAAUGAAAUUAAUGACAAUAAGGCGUCAAACAGCACUGGGACAGAUGCAUUAACAAAGACCCAUCACAAGGACUAUACAACCCUUUGGGUCCUUUUCAACUCUGCAAUUCUGUGAUUCUAUGGAAACCUUAUUUUACCUUUUUCUCUCCAGGUGGCAAAAGCCGUAGAGGUGGGCGGAGGAGAAAGAGAACAUGUCAGGCCUCAUGAAACCCAAAGCCUCAGGCUAUUGCCCUGUUCAAUCUCUACUAAACAACACUCGAGAGCCAUCCCCCAUCAGACUACCUGAGGCAACCUCGCCCUACAAGAUCCCACCAACUUGCUUGAGAAUGAACAGUGUCCUCUGUCAAUAAACUCUGAAAUGCCAUCACCACCACAAUGAAAUUUCUGGUUGGUUCUGUCAUAGGGGCAAUUGUUUGCAAUGAGCAGCCUGGGAAACCCAGCC